CAUGAGCCGUUCACGAUCAAGCUCAUUUAUUUUUAAAACAAAAAUCAUUUUCCUUUAAGGACAAUUUCACAACUAACAAUAAUAAAAUUAUAAAACUUGAGAAAAGAAAAUCCGACCGUCAGAUCUGACCAUCAUGACAAAAUACAUGUAUGGGAAAAAAUUCAACUUGAUCCCACAAGGUUAAGGGCUCGAUCCGGACGGUCAAUACCGUAAGUCAAACCCCUAAACACACGGAAACUGUCAUUAGACCUUCUAAAUUACGUAUUUUCGCCGGACCUUCAACUGAAAAUAGUUUCAAAUCGAUGAGACGCAAUGAAUCGUAUAAAAAUUUUACGGAAAAUAAGCAUCGAAGAUAGGGCUACCCAUAAGGAGAAAGAAUGGAAAAUUGCAUUGACCGCAACUAUCGGCACCGAGACUUUACUGGAAUACCGUGAUUUUUCAAUUGUAGACGUAUUUCACCAUUCUGGUGAUAUCUUAUUUCACGACUUUUUUGCGUUUGAAGGCUCUAUGUAUAGUUUUUUUUGAAACGGAACAUUUACUUGAUAAACAAGUUAUACAACAUUAGUAGACAUUUUGUGAUUGUGAUGAUCAAACUUGAGAAAAGAAAAUCUGACCGUCAGAUCAGACCAUCAUGACAAAAUACAUGUAUGGGAAAAAAUUCAACUUGAUCCCACAAGGUUAAGGGCUCGAUCCGGACGGUCAAUCCUGAAGUCAAACCCCUAAACAAACGGAAACGGUCAUUGGACCUUCUAAAUUACGUAUUUUCGCCGGACCUUCAACUGAAAAUAGUUUCAAAUCGAUGAGACGCAAGGAGUCGUAUAAAAAUUUUAUGGAAAAUAACCACAAAAGAUAGGACUACCCAUAAGGUGAAAGAAUUUGAAUAAAAUUCGUCUCCUGAUAUUCCUAAGGCGACGGAAAGUCCACUUCCCGUCGCUUAGGAUACACAAAAUAUAAAAUUUUAUGAUACUUAGGCGACGGAAAUUGUAUAUGUCGUCGGCUUUGUAAACCAAUGUGACGGAAAAUAUAUUUUUUGUCGUCUAGGAUCCCAAAAUAUUAGGCGGGUGAAUUUUGCGCCCCUUUUUUUCCCCUGAAAUUUCGUAUUACUUAGGACACGAAUAAAUGUCUUAGGCGAUGAAACCUAAUUUAAAACCUAUACUAACUCCCUCGCGCAAUCCACAAUCCCUAAUUAAAUUCACACCCACAAUUCCCAAUUCCCACCAGAGUCGCGCCACCAGACCCCAUCCACGCAUCGGCCACCGAUUAAAGUGUGCGCAUCCACCUACCUCCUCCACUCAUCGCCACCGCAUCCACCCGCCACUCCGAUCUCUCUGCUCUCACCUUCUCACCACAGCUACGAUCUCUCUGCUCUCACCUUCUCACCGCCGCUCCUUUUACAGGUCCGUAUUCUCUCUCUUUUCAGAUUGAUCUUGCUUGUUACUUCUGAAUCGUAAACGAAUUCGUUGAUCGUGUUUACAUUAUUAUUAUUAUUAUUUUUUAAUUAUCUAGCAAAAAAAAACCAAUAUCACAUUGUAUCUUCUGCUUAAGUGGCUCACAGCUUUUGUUAGUGUUUUCUGUAUCACCAAUGCAUGAAGUCUAAAAAAAAUAAAAAAGUGAAGAAAUACAAGUGGUUUGAUCAACCUGUAUGCUUUUCUAUGGACAAUUUUUCA
rnacentral:lncRNA from 1 species